rnacentral:rRNA from 1 species
AGUGAACGCUGGCGGUAGGCCUAACACAUGCAAGUCGAACGGCAGCACAGUAAGAGCUUGCUCUUACGGGUGGCGAGUGGCGGACGGGUGAGGAAUACAUCGGAAUCUACUUUUUCGUGGGGGAUAACGUAGGGAAACUUACGCUAAUACCGCAUACGACCUACGGGUGAAAGCAGGGGAUCUUCGGACCUUGCGCGAUUGAAUGAGCCGAUGUCGGAUUAGCUAGUUGGCGGGGUAAAGGCCCACCAAGGCGACGAUCCGUAGCUGGUCUGAGAGGAUGAUCAGCCACACUGGAACUGAGACACGGUCCAGACUCCUACGGGAGGCAGCAGUGGGGAAUAUUGGACAAUGGGCGCAAGCCUGAUCCAGCCAUACCGCGUGGGUGAAGAAGGCCUUCGGGUUGUAAAGCCCUUUUGUUGGGAGAGAAAAACAGCAGGUUAAUACCCCGCUGUUCUGACGGUACCCAAAGAAUAAGCACCGGCUAACUUCGUG